AUUGCCUUGGACUUAACACGUGUUCCUUAUCAGCUGGCUGCUGUCCUUUGACUUCCACCAGAUGGUGUGCUUCCUGGAGGCACAGGUUCUGUCUUUCAUUAAGACCUGACCCAUCUCAGGACAUGACAAAGGAAAUAUCUUGUUUUUGAUUUCUUGGAAGAGGAAGCACUCUGGGCAAGAGGUAUGAGCCGGGAUGAAGUGGACUCCUUGUCUGGAGGUGGUGCUACACACCUUGGAGGGGCUCCUGGGAGCUACUGAGAAUGUCCCCUAAGUCAGUAUUCCUGCCUCAGCUGAAAUGCCAGUCUUCAGCCUCAUCUACUGCACACUUGAGUCCAUGAGAUUUUAGAGUGCCCCGCCACCUGCCUUCUACCUGGAGCCUUCCUUCCAGGUCCUUCUUCAACAUCAGCUCCAGGAUCUGCAAGAUCUUUGGAUAUGGCCGCUGCAGAAGGAAGGAGAACCACUUCCUGGAGAAGCAGGAGUGAGCCAGGAUCUGCCACACAAGAGAGCCGGGAACCCAGGGCAUGGGUUAAGGCGAGGAGCAGGUCCGGAGGGAAGAUCUGAGGCAAAGAGAGAGCCUGUCACCUGUGCUGCCUUGAGAUGCUGACAUCUGAGGAUGCCCCAGACAGGGCCUGUGGCUGCUUUCUGAAAUAGUGCAGCACCUUCUCUGCUUCCUCCUCAACCUUCUCCUUCACAGCAGAACCCUGCCUCCUUCCUCUCCCCACAGGCUUGUUUCAGCAUUGAUUUGAUCAACUGAGCACCACGAGAACACAAACCACAUUCCUUUGUUUUUUCAUCACGUUACCCCCAGCACUUAGGACAGUGCCUGGCACAAAGGAGGUAGUCUGUAAAUAUUUGCGUAAUGAAUGAAUAAAGGAGGGCAUGAGUACAUCUCCUCUGCCCAGCACGGA
rnacentral:lncRNA from 1 species